rnacentral:misc_RNA from 1 species
AGGAUGUACCAACAUACAUCCCCAAUCUCCCCCCUCUCGUCCAUCGAAUUAUCGGCUAACAUGUCUCCAGAAUUACCCUCGUCUCAGCGUUGCGGUGUGCCUCUUCUUCAACGGCUCAGGCCCCAGCCCAUCAAUCUUGGGCACGGACCCACCAUUCAGUCUGCGAAACACACCUCUUCCUCUUUUCCUUACGUGAACAUGCUCCAAAAUCAAAACGGAGGAGGGGGAGUGGUUAUGGUAGGACAAGAAUCAAAAAAGAAGAUGAUGAAUCGAUUGCAGGAGCUGGAGAAGCAGCUUCUGGAUGACAA